UACCUACGGGGGGCAGCAGUGAGGAAUAUUGGUCAAUGGGCGGAAGCCUGAACCAGCCAAGUCGCGUGAGGGAAUAAGGCCCUACAGGUCGUAAACCUCUUUUGCCGGGGAGCAAGGGCGGGGACGUGUCCCGGCCCGGAGAGUACCCGGAGAAAAAGCAUCGGCUAACUCCGUGCCAGCAGCCGCGGUAAUACGGAGGAUGCGAGCGUUAUCCGGAUUUAUUGGGGUUAAAGGGUGCGUAGGCGGGCUUUUAAGGCAGCGGUAAAAAUUCGGGGCGCAACCCCGGCCGGCCGGUGAAACUGGGG
rnacentral:rRNA from 1 species